GUCCAUGCCGUAAACGGUGGGCACUAGGUGUGGGUUUCAACUAACGAAAUCCGCGCCGUCGCUAACGCAUUAAGUGCCCCGCCUGGGGAGUACGGUCGCAAGACUAAAACUCAAAGGAAUUGACGGGGCCCGCACAAGCAGCGGAGCGUGUUGCUUAAUUCGAUGCUACGCGAAGAACCUUACCUGGGUUUGACAUGUUUGGAAAAACCACAGAGAUGUGGUGUCCGCAAAGGGGCCAAAACACAGGUGGUGCAUGGCUGUCGU
rnacentral:rRNA from 1 species